AUUGGCUGCGCUGGUGGCGCUAUAGCGCACGGAGUUCGAAUGAACUGCAGCAGAGCUAGAGGGAACUGCUGUGGGGUGUGGCCAAAGACUUCAUUGGUGCUUUCUCAUCAUUACAAGUUUUCAGAUGCUGGCCAGUCACUUCUUCCAAGGCUUCAAACACAUGACCAGACUGCUGCAACUACACUGUGUGUGUGUGUACUUUAAUCACUAAGACUUAAGAUCAGAUACGCCCUUGACAGCUCUGAAUGUCAGCUGAGACAAGACAACUAGAUGAGCCCCAGAGAAAGAUCCCCUCCGCCCUCAUCGCCUAGACAGCCAUUGGGACAAGACCACAGGAACCAAACCAGUCCUCUGCACAAUCUGACCUGUGUUGCAGUCUGCAAUUCAUGAGUUCACACUUACAGAUAAUGUACAGAGUAAAGGUUAUGCGUAUUUGGCGUGCUGUCUGAGGAGAGGGCUCCAAGCGCUCCUCCUGAGUGUUCCUCCCUGUGCUGGGGUAGGAACAGGCUGAAGGUGAGGAGUCGGGGUGGUGGAGGGAUACUGAAAGACUAGAAAUAAUGAAGGUAUGGCUGCGUUGAUAAUUUAUAGGGGUUCUCUCUUGUGCUGAUUAGAUAGAUGCUGGAUUCAUCUGGCCAGAGAAGAAUGAUGGAGUUUUGGUUUCUUCGACAUAUGAUUUUUCUGUUUAAUACUGGAAAGCUGCUUUGACAUACCUGUAAUCUGUAAUAGCCUAGUGUUGGGCGGUGUACUGGUUCUUACUGAUUACCGGUGUUUCUUUUUCUUAUGAUAUGAAUUUUUAAAGUACCGCAAUGCUGGUUGUUUAAAUAAUGUUCGGAACGCUUUUGAGAGGGGUCUCUUUUGACGUUGCACUGUGGUUAGGACACAGCUGUAUGUUACUAAGUGUGAAAGUUCCAAGACUGAAGCUGUCCCAUGCAGGCCGGAUGUGGGCCAAAACUGCUUGCUGUCCGGACGUAGAACUUGUAGAACGUGAUGACACAGAAGAACUCGUCCACAGUAUCCACUGACCUCCACAUCCACCGCCUGCUGCCAUCAGCUCCUGCGCCUUACACACACGAGCGCAACUUCAGCGCUAGAUUUAGACUACAUCUUCUUUUAUCCGGGUGCAUUUGAAAACGGCAUUUUCGUUUUAAAACGCUCUCCGUCCUAACUAGCGUUUUCAAGCGUUUUGCAAACUUUGUCUCGUCAACACUGAAACUUUAAAAAAAGGUUAUAUUUCUGCGCAUGCGCAUAUCCUCGAAAAAGCUCACUGCAGAUGAUACGAAAGAACAGACAUGAUAAAUUUGUAUGCAGUUCUUCUGACAGGAUUAUUUUAUUUAUGAAAAGAUCCCACCAUUCACUGAUGCAACCAGGUCGCACACAUGAUUGUAUGUCUGAUCUAAAAUGCAACUGCCUUCAUGUUUUGUUGCAAAUAGCAAUUGCGAGUAAAUUUGCUUUCACCUUUGCAGAACUGUGAUAUUAAGAGUGUACAAAGUAACACAUCUGUAGUAAUAGUGAGAAAGUGUAUACUGCAUAGCACAUAACAUUCACAAUACAAACACAGAUAUCUAUAUAAUAUGCCUCACAUGAAUAAAAUUGCGUAAUCGUUUUCAAAAGCCUCCGUUUUCACAUUUAUCCACUUUGCAGAGGGUUUUCAAAAAGCUCCAUUUUCCUCGACUGAAAACGGACGGAAGGCCAAAAAGGAGAGAAAAAGAUGCGUUUUCAAACGAAAACGUAUUAGGGUGGACAAGGCCUUACCAACUUUCAAACGCUUUUAGUGUGUUUUUUCCAUGGAAUAUAUAUACUGACAAACAUAGGGACUUUUUUUGGGAUAAACCUUAGCUAUGAUUUAGUUGGAAGAUGUCGCCAGUGCUGCCCCGCGA